rnacentral:rRNA from 1 species
UACGUAGGGGGCGAGCGUUGUCCGGAUUUAUUGGGCGUAAAGAGCUCGUAGGCGGUUUGGCAAGUCGGGUGUGAAAACUCCGGGCUCAACUCGGAGACGCCACUCGAUACUGCUAUGACUCGAGUCCGGUAGGGGAGUGCGGAAUUCCUGGUGUAGCGGUGAAAUGCGUAGAUAUCGGAAGGAACACCAGUGGCGAAAGCGGCUUCCUGGUCCGACACCGACGUUCAGGCACGAAAGCGUGGGGAGCAAACAGG